AUUAAAAUUUACGAUGGAUACCUAGGCAUUUAGAGUCGAUGAAGGGCGUGGAUACCAACGAAAUGCUUCGGUUAGUUGGAAACAAACUUUGAUCCGAAGAUUCCCGAAUAGGAAAACCUAUAUAACUACUUAAUGAAUUCAUAAUUAAGUAAGAGACAACCUGCUGAAUUGAAACAUCUUAGUAAGCAGAGGAAAAGAAAGCAAACGCGAUUUCCUUAGUAGCGGCGAGCGAAACGGAAAUAGUCUAAUCAUUGAAAAAAAAACUAUUAAACGAAGCAGCUGAAUCCUGCACCAUAGAUGGUGAAAGUCCAGUAGUUUAAAAUAGAAAAAAAUGAUUAUAAAGUAGCAUGGAACACGUGAAAUUCCGUGUGAAUAUACGAGGACCACCUCGUAAGACUAAAUACUCCUAAAUGACCGAUAGUGAAACAGUACCGUGAGGGAAAGGUGAAAAAGAACCCCUGUAGGGGAGUGAAAAAGAACAUGAAAUCGUAAAUUGACAAUCAGUGGGAGCUAAAGUGACCGCGUGCCUGUUGAAGAAUGAGCCGGCGACUUAUAGGUAGUGGCCAGGUUAAAAUAACUUUUUGGAGCCAAAGCGAAAGCAAGUCUGAUAAGGGCGUCUGUCACUAUUUAUAGACCCGAACCCGAGUGAUCUAACCAUGGCCAGGAUGAAUCUUGGGUAACACCAAGUGGAAGACCGAACCGACUGAUGUUGAAAAAUCAGCGGAUGAGCUGUGGUUAGGGGUGAAAUUCCAGUCGAACUCGGAGCUAGCUGGAUCUCCUCGAAAUGUGUUGAGGCGCAGCGGUUGAUGACGGGCUAUUUAGGGGUAAAGCACUGUUUCGGUGCGGGCUGCGAAAGCGGUACCAAAUCGUGGCAAACUAAGAAUACUAAAUAUGCUUUCCAUCAACCAGUAAGACAGUGGGGGAUAAGCUUCAUUGUCAAAAGGGAAACAGCCCAGAUCACCAGUUAAGGCCCCAAAGUGAUGGCUAAGUGAUAAAGGAAGUAAAAAGGCAAAGACAACCAGAAGGUUUGCUUAGAAGCAGCCAUCCUUGAAAGAGUGCGUAAUAGCUCACUGGUAGAGCCUUUUUGCGCCGAAAAUGAACGGGGCUAAGUCAUCCGCCGAAACUGUGGGUUACAGUUAAAAUACUGUUACGGUAGAGGAGCGUUCCGUUAUAGGGUGAAGUUAAAAUGUGAAUUUUAAUGGACGAAACGGAAGUGAGAAUGUCGGCUUGAGUAACGAAAACAUUGGUGAGAAUCCAAUGCCCCGAAAACCUAAGGGUUCCUUCACAAGGUUCGUCCAUGGAGGGUUAGUCAGGACCUAAGGCGAGAUCGAAAGGUGUAGUCGAUGGAAAACAGAUUAAUAUUCCUGUACUUGAUUAGGUUUGGUAAAGAGGGACGGAGAAGGCGGUAACUAGCUAGAUAUUGGUAUUCUAGUAGAAGUAUUGAAUUCUUAAAACAAUGAAAAAAAACUUUGUUUAGAAAACAUGCGACCUGACUGGAACUUUAUUAUAUAAAGUUUCGGUUUAGUUUUAGUCAUACUUCCAAGAAAAGCUCUUAUUACCAUUAAAUUUAAUCAACCUGUACCCUAAACUGACACAAGUAGGUAGGUAGAGAAUACUAAGGGGCGCGAGAUAACUCUCUCUAAGGAACUCGGCAAAAUGGCCCCGUAACUUCGGGAGAAGGGGUGCCUAUAUUAUAUAGGCCGCAGUGACCAGGCCCAGGCGACUGUUUAUCAAAAACACAGGUCUCCGCAAAGUCGUAAGACAAUGUAUGGGGGCUGACGUCUGCCCAGUGCCGGAAGGUAAAAGAAGUUGGUUAUUCCUCGGAAAAAGCUGACGACUGAAGCCCCGGUGAACGGCGGCUGUAACUCUGACAGUCCUAAGGUUAAUACACGAUAUUACGCUAAAUCGCUAGCCUUAGUAAAACCGAACUAAAUGCUGGAAACUCCCCAAAAACAUAACUCUACUCGACUUUUAUAUUACAACAAUAUCGGGACUAACUUUUCGAGGUUAACUCUUGGAGACGUGUUAAAAGUAAGUCAGUAAUAAUGAGAAUGGCACGAGGACAAUCAGCAGGAAAGACUAAUAUACAAUUAGAAUCCUCAGAGACUAUACGUUUGGAGAUAUAAAAACAAAUAAAACUAUGACACAAUUAGAAUCACAAUGGAUUGUUGGGUUUGUAGAUGGAGAAGGGUGUUUUUUUAUAGGACUAAAUAAAAAUCCAGAAAUGACACUUGGAAUUCAAGUUUUACCAGAAUUUUCUGUUGUUCAGCAUAAACGUGAUGAACAAAUACUAUACGCUUUAAAAGAUUUUUGGAAAUUUGGUGUUGUAAGAAAAAACCACGGUGAUCGAUUAUGUUAUCGAGUUCGAGGUGUUGAACAUUUAAAUAAAACCAUUAUACCUUUUUUUGAAAAGCACAGUUUAAAAACAAAGAAAAAGGUAGAUUUUUUAAAGUUUCGAAAAGUUUUACAAUUAAUUGAAAGCAAAAAACAUUUAACUGUUGAAGGCUUACUUAAAAUUGAUUCUCUUCGACUUGAAAUGAACACAGGCAAAUCAAAGAAAAAACUUAUUCUAAUUGAUGGUAAAUUAGAUUUAAUUGAUAUCUAAGAUAGAGUCCAGCCUUUCUUGAAAAAGUUAGGAUAUAACUGAGCGAAAUUCCUUGUCGAGUAAGUUUCGACCCGCACGAAAGACGUAACGAUCUGGGCACUGUCUCGGAGAGAGACUCGGUGAAAUAGAAAUGUCUGUGAAGAUGCGGACUACUUAUACCAGGACAGAAAGACCCUAUGAAGCUUGACUGUAAUUUGGAAUUGGAUUCGGGCUUUUUUUGCGCAGUCUAGGUGGGAGGCGUUGAUAUUAAGUUUUCGGACUUAAUUGAGCCAUCAGU
rnacentral:rRNA from 1 species